AUUGAACGCUGGCGGCAUGCUUUACACAUGCAAGUCGAACGGUAACAGGCCGCAAGGUGCUGACGAGUGGCGAACGGGUGAGUAAUGCAUCGGAACGUGCCCAGUCGUGGGGGCUAACGCAGCGAAAGCUGCGCUAAUACCGCAUACGAUCUAUGGAUGAAAGCGGGGGAACGUAAGGCCUCGCGCGAUUGGAGCGGCCGAUGUCAGAUUAGGUAGUUGGUGGGGUAAAGGCUCACCAAGCCAACGAUCUGUAGCUGGUCUGAGAGGACGACCAGCCACACUGGGACUGAGACACGGCCCAGACUCCUACGGGAGGCAGCAGUGGGGAAUUUGGACAAUGGGCGCAAGCCUGAUCCAGCAAUGCCGCGUGCAGGAAGAAGGCCUUCGGGUUGUAAACUGCUUUUGUACGGAACGAAAAGGCUCUGGUUAAUACCUGGGGCUCAUGACGGUACCGUAAGAAUAAGCACCGGCUAACUACGUGCCAGCCGCCGCAGUAACAC
rnacentral:rRNA from 1 species